rnacentral:rRNA from 1 species
AGUGAACGCUGGCGGUAGGCCUAAUACAUGCAAGUCGAACGGCAGCACAGUAAGAGCUUGCUCUUACGGGUGGCGAGUGGCGGACGGGUGAGGAAUACAUCGGAAUCUACUUUUUCGUGGGGGAUAACGUAGGGAAACUUAUGCUAAUACCGCAUACGACCUACGGGUGAAAGCAGGGGAUCUUCGGACCUUGCGCGACUGAAUGAGCCGAUGUCGGAUUAGCUAGUUGGCGGGGUAAAGGCCCACCAAGGCGACGAUCCGUAGCUGGUCUGAGAGGGUGAUCGGCCACACUGGAACUGAGACACGGUCCAGACUCCUACGGGAGGCAGCAGUAGGGAAUAUUGGACAAUGGGCGAAAGCCUGAUCCAGCCAUGCCGCGUGAGUGAAGAAGGCCUUCGGGUUGUAAAGCCCUUUUGUUAGGAAAGAAAAGCAGCAGGUUAAUACCCCGCUGUUCUGACGGUACCCAACGAAUAAGCACCGGCUAACUUCGUG